rnacentral:lncRNA from 10 species
CCAAUCUCCUCCAAAGUUACAAAGUCAGCUCCCUGUCAUCCACACAGUGCUGAAGCCAUGCUGGGUUCUGAGAAGAUGGGGGAAGGCCUCCACUGGGAACCACACCCCACCUAGGACUCAAAGCUCCAUUGGCUGGCUCCAACACUCCUGCCCCUUCUGCCUGUGGUCCCUCUCCUCACAGGGCCUGGACACACGUCCCUGAGACUGGUCAAGGGCCAAUCGUACUCCAGAAAGACCCAGACUUACCUUCCCACUUCUACGCCAGAUUGUUCUCCUGAGCAGCUGCAAAAAGCCACCUCACUUCUGUAGCAAAAGACCUUCAUGCAGAUGGUCUUGAUGGCCCAUGACAUAUGUCCAGGCCUGUUAGAAUCCUGCUUUGGUCUCUCGACCUACCCCACUAUGUCCACGUCCACACGGAAAGGCUCUUGGGAUCUCACCCCAGGCUCCCCAGCAGGAUCCUUUUCUGGAGUUGGGAGGCAGGAGAAAGAGUCACCGCAGGGAGUAGACCGGACGGGCCCCUGGCACCAGCCACGUGUGGCUGGAACAAUCAAUGACUGAGCCCUGGACCAGGAGCUUGGGUUCUGGUCUCAGCUCUGCUGGUGACUUGCUGUGUGAUGGUUGGCAAGAUACACCUUCUUUCUGAGCCUCAGGCGCUGUUUUUGAAGUGGCAUUGUUAACUGCUCCUCGUUUGGCUGUAGGAUCUCCACCACACAUCACUGUCACUCCUACCUGGGCUCAGAACUUUCCCUGGCAUCUUUUCCUGCCCACCUCCCCCGACUCAGCACCCCUUGGAAGUGCUCCUUCUGGGGACCUGAGGAGGGCAUAGGCAGCAUGGCCCACGUACCCACCUCUCAAGAGAGGCCUCCAGCAAUGCCUCCUUUUAGCCACAGGUCCUGGGACCAGUGAGCCAGGGCCUACAGCAGCCCACAUGGACACAUGGACACAUGGAAACGUGGCCACACUGCCACAGAGUCAAGAGCCCUUCUCCCUGCUGAGCAGGCUAAUGCCUUAAUCCCUUUACACAAAGCCUGCUGAUUCUUUCCUCGGGGCGGGGAAAGUGGUUGGGGCACAAAUUGGCUUAUUCCACUGAUCCAGAGAGAGGCUUCUCCCAUGAGGCCAGCAGAUCCAUCCCUGUGUGUGGCUGUCGCUCAACUCUCUGCAGCACACACACCCCUCAUUACCCUCACCCCCGAGCCUCCAGGAAUCCUUGUAGAUUCAGAGAUACGGAGACUCCCCGUGGUCCUCCCUCCCUCCUUCCAGGAGAACUGCUGAGUAUUGGAGAUAGACAGGCCUAGGCUGCCAAGCUCCUACACUGACUAGUUUGGGGUGUCUGACCCCAGGUACGAACUGUUAGGGAGGACACAGAGAAGGCAAGAGAGGAUACGCCACCCAGAAAAUAGUAGAAUGGGAGAAGUUUCUCUCCAUUCCUUUCACUCACUUUCCAUAGCCCUAUCCAGGGCCCAACCUGGCCAGAAGAAAGGUAUUUUGUAAGCUUCCUUCUGAUAAAAUUGCAGACCAUCCAGAGUGAGGGUAGCCUCAAAAGAAGGGACAGCCAGUGGUGGAGUUUCAGGCAUUCACAGAAGAGAUCAUUUGAGUCAGCAAGCUUUUUUGGUAUCCAUAAAGCCCAUGGCCCUGUGGCACCUGCAUGUGUGCAUAGUGAGGUCAAGGGGAAGGUGGCAUGUCCGAGGGAGGGAGGCAAGUGGUGCCACGAAAACCAGUUCACACACAGACUCGUCAGAACACCCACAGCAGGCUGGUUCAUAGUGACCCAGAACUGGAAACAACCCGAUGUCCAUCAGCAGGUGCCUGGAUUCCUGUGGUACAUUGGUGCGAUGAAAUACUACUCAGCCAUACAAAAGCAUGAACUAUUGAUACACGCAACUAACUAGAUAAAUCUCAAAAUCACUAACCUGAGGGAACGGAGCCAGGCACAAAAGAAUACAUUCUACACAAUUCCAACCAUGUGAAAAUCCAGAACAGGCAGCAGAAUGGAUCUUGGUGAUAGAGGUCAGAUGGGGAGGAAGGAGGGGGUGAGAGGAAGAACACGUGAGAGAACUUUCUGGAAUGAUAUGAAAGAAGUGUUCUGUAUCUUGAUUUG